rnacentral:rRNA from 1 species
UAAGACGAACCGUGCAAACGUUGUUCGGAAUCACUGGGCUUAAAGGGCGCGUAGGCGGGCUCGCCAGUCUGUGGUGAAAGCCCCCGGCUUAACCGGGGAAGUGCCAUGGAUACUGCGAGCCUCGAGGAGGGUAGGGGCAUCUGGAACAGCCGGUGGAGCGGUGAAAUGCGUUGAUAUCGGCUGGAACUCCGGUGGCGAAGGCGAGGUGCUGGCCCCUUUCUGACGCUGAGGCGCGAAAGCCAGGGGAGCAAACGGGAUUAGAUACCCCGGUAGUCCUGGCCCUAAACGUUGAGGACUAGGUAGUGGACUUAACAUGGGUUCACUGUCGAAGCAAAAGUGCUAAGUCCUCCGCCUGGGGAGUAUGGUCGCAAGGCUG